CUGCUGCCUCCCGUAGGAGUCUGGGCCGUGUCUCAGUCCCAGUGUGGCCGUCCACCCUCUCAGGCCGGCU
rnacentral:rRNA from 1 species